rnacentral:rRNA from 1 species
CACUAGCGAUCCGCCGAUGGAGAUUAUAUUGCCUUGGUGGGGAGCUUCCCGGAAACGAAAGUCUUCCGGUUCCGGGGGAAGUAUGGUUGCAAAGCUGAAACUUAAAGGAAUUGACGGAAGGGCACCACCAGGAGUGGAGCCUGCGGCUUAAUUUGACUCAACACGGGGAAACUCACCCGGCCCGGACACUGUGAGGAUUGACAGAUUGAUAGCUUUUUCAUGAUUCAGUGGAUGGUGGUGCAUGGCCGUUCUUAGUUCGUGGAGUGAUUUGUCUGGUUUAUUCCGAUAACGAGCGAGACUCUAACCUACUAAAUAGCUGAUACAUAUUUUUUGUGAAUUCGGCUUCUUAGAGGGAUUUGCGGUGUUCAGCCGAAAGAAAUUGAGCAAUAACAGGUCUGUGAUGCCCUUAGAUGUCCGGGGCUGCACGCGCGCUACACUGGCAAAAUCAACGUGCUUGUCCUGCCCCGAAAGGGGUGGGUAAACCAUUGAAAAUUUGCCGUGAUUGGGAUCGGAAAUUGCAAUUAUUUUCCGUGAACGAGGAAUUCCAAGUAAGUGCGAGUCAUCAGCUCGCGUUGAU